rnacentral:rRNA from 1 species
UACGGAGGGUGCGAGCGUUGUCCGGAAUCACUGGGCGUAAAGGCGCGUAGGCGGCCUGAUAAGUAGGGGUGAAAUCCUGCGGCUUAACCGCAGGCUGCCUUCUAAACUGUCAGGCUGGAGCACAGUAGAGGCAGGUGGAAUUCCCGGUGUAGCGGUGGAAUGCGUAGAGAUCGGGAAGAACAUCAGUGGCGAAGGCGGCCUGCUGGCUGUGCUGACGCUGAGGCGCGACAGCGUGGGAGCAAACAGG